rnacentral:rRNA from 1 species
UACGUAGGUGACAAGCGUUGUCCGGAUUUACUGGGCGUAAAGAGUGCGCAGGCGGUCGAUCAAGUCGAGUGUGAAAGCCCCCGGCUCAACUGGGGAGGGUCAUUCGAUACUGAUCGACUCGAAGGCAGGAGAGGGUAGUGGAAUUCCCGGUGUAGUGGUGAAAUGCGUAGAUAUCGGGAGGAACACCAGUGGCGAAGGCGACUACCUGGCCUGUUCUUGACGCUGAGGCGCGAAAGCUAGGGGAGCAAACGGGG